rnacentral:rRNA from 1 species
ACGGGUGAGUAACGCGUGGGAACAUACCCAACUCUACGGAAUAACUCAGGGAAACUUGUGCUAAUACCGUAUACGCCCUUCGGGGGAAAGAUUUAUCGGAGUUGGAUUGGCCCGCGUUGGAUUAGCUAGUUGGUGGGGUAAAGGCCUACCAAGGCGACGAUCCAUAGCUGGUCUGAGAGGAUGAUCAGCCACAUUGGGACUGAGACACGGCCCAAACUCCUACGGGAGGCAGCAGUGGGGAAUAUUGGACAAUGGGCGCAAGCCUGAUCCAGCCAUGCCGCGUGUGUGAUGAAGGCCUUAGGGUUGUAAAGCACUUUCACCGGAGAAGAUAAUGACGGUAUCCGGAGAAGAAGCCCCGGCUAACUUCGUGCCAGCAGCCGCGGUAAUACGAAGGGGGCUAGCGUUGUUCGGAAUUACUGGGCGUAAAGCGCACGUAGGCGGAUCGAUCAGUCAGGGGUGAAAUCCCAGAGCUCAACUCUGGAACUGCCUUUGAUACUGUCGGUCUAGAGUAUGGAAGAGGUGAGUGGAAUUCCGAGUGUAGAGGUGAAAUACGUAGA